UACGUAGGGUGCGAGCGUUAAUCGGAAUUACUGGGCGUAAAGGGCUCGUAGGCGGUUUGUCGCGUCGGGAGUGAAAACCAGGUGCUUAACACCUGGCUUGCUUUCGAUACGGGCAGACUAGAGGUAUGCAGGGGAGAACGGAAUUCCUGGUGUAGCGGUGAAAUGCGCAGAUAUCAGGAGGAACACCGAUGGCGAAGGCAGGUCUCUGGGCCACUACUGACGCUGAGAAGCGAAAGCAUGGGGAGCGAACAGG
rnacentral:rRNA from 1 species